rnacentral:rRNA from 1 species
UGGGGAAUUUUGGACAAUGGGCGAAAGCCUGAUCCAGCAAUGCCGCGUGUGUGAAGAAGGCCUUCGGGUUGUAAAGCACUUUUGUCCGGAAAGAAAUCCUUGGCUCUAAUACAGUCGGGGGAUGACGGUACCGGAAGAAUAAGCACCGGCUAACUACGUGCCAGCAGCCGCGGUAAUACGUAGGGUGCAAGCGUUAAUCGGAAUUACUGGGCGUAAAGCGUGCGCAGGCGGUUUGCUAAGACCGAUGUGAAAUCCCCGGGCUCAACCUGGGAACUGCAUUGGUGACUGGCAGGCUAGAGUAUGGCAGAGGGGGGUAGAAUUCCACGUGUAGCAGUGAAAUGCGUAGAGAUGUGGAGGAAUACCGAUGGCGAAGGCAGCCCCCUGGGCCAAUACUGACGCUCAUGCACGAAAGCGUGGGGAGCAAACAGGAUUAGAUACCCUGGUAGUCCACGCCCUAAACGAUGUCAACUAGUUGUGGGGAUUCAUUUCCUUAGUAACGUAGCUAACGCGUGAAGUUGACCGCCUGGGGAGUACGGUCGCAAGAUUAAAACUCAAAGGAAUUGACC